GCGGAUGUAGUUUAUCGGUAGAAUGGAAGCUUCCCAAGCUUCAGAGGCGGGUUCGACUCCCGUCAUCCGCUCCA
rnacentral:tRNA from 1 species